rnacentral:rRNA from 1 species
AGUGGCGAACGGGUGAGUAAUAUAUCGGAACGUACCCAAGAGUGGGGGAUAACGUAGCGAAAGUUACGCUAAUACCGCAUACGAUCUAAGGAUGAAAGCAGGGGACCGCAAGGCCUUGUGCUCCUGGAGCGGCCGAUAUCUGAUUAGCUAGUUGGUAGGGUAAAGGCCUACCAAGGCAUCGAUCAGUAGCUGGUCUGAGAGGACGACCAGCCACACUGGAACUGAGACACGGUCCAGACUCCUACGGGAGGCAGCAGUGGGGAAUUUUGGACAAUGGGCGCAAGCCUGAUCCAGCAAUGCCGCGUGAGUGAAGAAGGCCUUCGGGUUGUAAAGCUCUUUUGUCAGGGAAGAAACGGGCAGGGAUAAUACCCUUGUCUAAUGACGGUACCUGAAGAAUAAGCACCGGCUAACUACGUGCCAGCAGCCGCGGUAAUACGUAGGGUGCAAGCGUUAAUCGGAAUUACUGGGCGUAAAGCGUGCGCAGGCGGUUUUGUAAGUCUGUCGUGAAAUCCCCGGGCUCAACCUGGGAAUGGCGAUGGAGACUGCAAGGCUAGAAUCUGGCAGAGGGGGGUAGAAUUCCACGUGUAGCAGUGAAAUGCGUAGAGAUGUGGAGGAACACCGAUGGCGAAGGCAGCCCCCUGGGUCAAGAUUGACGCUCAUGCACGAAAGCGUGGGGAGCAAACAGGAUUAGAUACCCUGGUAGUCCACGCCCUAAACGAUGUCUACUAGUUGUCGGGUUUUAAUUAACUUGGUAACGCAGCUAACGCGUGAAGUAGACCGCCUGGGGAGUACGGUCGCAAGAUUAAAACUCAAAGGAAUUGACGGGGACCCGCACAAGCGGUGGAUGAUGUGG